rnacentral:rRNA from 1 species
AGCUCUAAUAGCGUAUAUUAAAGUUGUUGCGGUUAAAAAGCUCGUAGUUGAAUCUUCUUUCGUCGCGCGCGUGCCCGUCUCAUCGAGGCGUUGUGUACGCCGCGCCGAAGAAAUUUGUUAUUAACAACGUACGUCGGGCAUUCAUUUGCCCGUCGCAAAACAGUCGGCGCCUCGCGCGUCGGUGACGUUUUAAUUCUUUUACUUUGAGUAAAUUAGAGUGUUCAAAGCAGAUGAAAGUAUUUCGAUCGCUGAAUACAUUAGCAUGGGAUAAUGGAAUAGGACUUUGGUUCUAUUUUGUUGGUUUCUAGAGCCGAAGUAAUGAUUAAUAGGGACAGUUGGGGGCAUUAGUAUUUAAUUGUCAGAGGUGAAAUUCUUGGAUUUAUUAAAGACUAACUACUGC